GAACAUCUCAGUUCAGAUUGCAGGCUGCAACUCGCCUGCAUGAAGUCGGAAUGCUAGUAAUCGUAGGUCAGCAUACUACGGUGAAUACGUUCCCGGGCCUUGUACACACCGCCCGUCAAACCAUGAGAGUUGGCAACACCCGAAGUCGGUAGUCUAACCGCAAGGAGGACGCCGCCGAAGGUGGGGUUGAUGAUUAGGGUUAAGUCGUAACAAGGUAUC
rnacentral:rRNA from 1 species